rnacentral:rRNA from 1 species
UACGGGGGGGCAAGCGUUGUUCGGAAUUACUGGGCGUAAAGGGUUCGUAGGUGGCUCGCUAAGUCACACGUGAAAUCCCUCAGCUUAACUGGGGAACUGCGUGUGAGACUGGCAAGCUCGAGUGCAGGAGAGGAAUGCGGAAUUCCAGGUGUAGCGGUGAAAUGCGUAGAUAUCUGGAGGAACACCGGUGGCGAAGGCGGCAUCCUGGACCGGUAUUGACGCUGAGGAGCGAAAGCCAGGGGAGCAAAGCGGG